GCUAGAGCAGAGCAAGGUGAAAGGGAGAUGCACGGCUGGCCUGGGAGAGGGGACGGAGCUGGUUAGGGCUGGGGAGGAGGAUGGCAGGCUGCAGUAGGGCUGGGCUGGGCAGAUGAGCUGCUGCAGGGAGGGAAGGUCUCUGUGGAGGUGGCGAAGGAGGGUCAGCACUGCAGGGAGGAAGGAAGAGAGCAGAGGAACGUGGGGAGGAGGAGAAGGCGUCUCUGCCUUGAGAUGGAGAUGACAGAGUAUUCCCGGUCCUGACUGGUGCAAGCGGUGAAGCUGAAAUCUGAGCUGCUCAGGCUUUCCCAAGAAGGACUGGGGGAGUGUCUUGGGUUUUUAGCUUGGCUGCGUGGGUGUGCAUAAUGAACCGGAAUUCUGCUGUGCUUGGCUACCUCGGGGACUCGUUUUAAUCACCGGGCAAAUGUGCUGUGUGUAGGAGAAAUACUUAAUUUCAUGCCACGA